GACGAACGCUGGCGGCGUGCCUAACACAUGCAAGUCGAACGGAAAGGCCCUGCUUUUGUGCGGUGCUCGAGUGGCGAACGGGUGAGUAACACGUGAGUAACCUGCCCUUGACUUUGGGAUAACUUCAGGAAACUGGGGCUAAUACCGCAUAGGAGCUCCUGCUGCAUGGCGUUGGUUGGAAAGUUUCGGCGGUUGGGGAUGGACUCGCGGCUUCUCAGCUUCUUGGUGGGGUAGUGGCUUACCAAGGCUGUGACGGCUAGCCGGCCUGGGAGGGUGACCGGCCACAUUGGGACUGAGGUAGGGCCCAGAAGGCUACGGGAGGCAGCGGUGGGAAAUAUUGCGCAAUGGGCGGAAGCCUGAUGCAACGACGCCGCGUGCGGAAUGACGGCCUUCGGGUUAUAAACAGCUUUCGCCUGUAACGAAGCGUGAGUGACGGUAACGGAUAAGAAAGCACCGGCUAACUACGUG
rnacentral:rRNA from 1 species